rnacentral:rRNA from 1 species
UACAGAGGUCCCGAGCGUUGUUCGGAUUCAUUGGGCGUAAAGGGUGCGUAGGCGGCUUUCUAAGUCCGGUGUGAAAUCCUGGGGCUCAACCCUGGAACUGCAUUGGAUACUGGGAGGCUAGAGUACUGGAGAGGAAACUGGAAUUUACGGUGUAGCAGUGAAAUGCGUAGAGAUCGUAAGGAAGACCAGUGGCGAAGGCGAGUCUCUGGACAGCAACUGACGCUGAGGCACGAAGGCCAGGGGAGCAAACGGG